GGGAGGGGACGGCGGCGCGCUGUUGCGUGGAGACCUGAAGCAGUGGGAGUAGGUCAG
ensembl:misc_RNA